CCUUGUUCAACCAUGCUUGUCUUGGUGUGCCUCACUGUAAAUCAAGCCGCAAAAGGCCGCACUGUUACAAGUGGUGUCAGAAGUGUGUCAUUCACACUACAGCGAGAAGAUGAUGACAAGGGGUGGAAGAAAGCUAGGCCAAGAGGAGCAGCCUGAUGAAGGAGUUGGAGCUUCAUCUGAGCUAGAGGCCAUGGCAGCAACAAGCCCUGAUCACAAACUGGAGGAACUUACAGGGUUGGUGAAGUCUCUUUUUCGGUCUCAAGCAGCCAGAGACCAGAAAUGGGAGAAAGAUUUAUCACAUCAGGAGCAAAGGUGGAAAGGCAUGCAGCAUUAAUUUCAGCAAAUCCAGCUCCAAGUUAACGCUGUAAUUGAUAAACCUGAUCCACCAGAGGCGACAGCACCCCCUACAACAUCUGAAGAGCAGCAAAAUGGAUCCAGUGGUGAAGAUAUUCAAGUGGCCCAUGCGUCCAGGUCUUUAAUUGAACCGAAACUUUUUCUUUUUUCCUGAGACGCCACGUGAACUUUAAGAUUGAAAGACUUGUUUUUAAGAUGGAUUAAACCUGAAAAAUCAACUGUAGAAGAAAUAUCUGAGCAGAUAAUUCUGGAGCAGUUUUUGAGAAUUGUUAACCCACAGCUGGAGAUCUUGAUAUGUAAGCGCGACCCAAAGACGGCAAGGAAGCAGCUGGCCUCAUGGAGGUUAUCAUUUCCGCCAGAAAGGGAACCAAGAGCACCUACUUGAGCCGGGAGACCCACUACGCCCAACCAAAUACUUGAAUGCAGUAUCCAAGUUUGAUCCCUACCCAAUGCCCAGGAUGGAUGAUCUGUUGGAGAGAGUUGGAUCAGCGAGCUACAUUACAACACUGGACCUGUGUAAGGGAUACUGGCAAGUGGCUUUGGCACCAGAAGGGAAAGAGCUGACAGCCUUCAAAACUCCUUUUGUAUGUCUGGAUGACGUGGUGGUGUAUAGCCAGUCCUGGGAAAAGCAUGUGAUUCACCUACAGAAGGUGCUACACUGCUUCAGAAUAACUGGACUGACUGUUGACCCCAAGAAGUGUUCCAUAGCCCAGAGAGAAGUGGAGUACUUGGGCUUUGUGGUUGGCUCCGGGAAGAUGAAGCUGCAGGCUGGAAAGAUUGAGGCAAUCCAGUCCUUCUCAGUUCUGAUGACAAAAAAGGAAGGUGAGAGGUUUUCUAGGUCUGGUAGGCUGGUACAGGAAAUUCAUACCUUCCUUUGCAGAGCGAUCCACUGCACUGAAUGACCUCACAAAGGGUUCAGCCCCCAAAAAAGUGCGUUGGACUGAAUAUGAGCAUGCAUUCAGAGACCUCAAGGAAGCAGUAUGCACACAUCCAGUUUUACAUAGCCCAGACUUCAGCAAGCCAUUCAUCUUGCAAACAGGUGCUUCAGGAGUAGGUCUUGGAGCUGUCUUUCAGCACGAGGUGGAUGGUGAAAGAAGGCCUGUGGUGUUUGAGUCGGAAAUCAUCAUGAUCAUUGUGCCCUCCAGUAGCUGAACCGCAUGAGGGAUGCAAAUGCUCGCAUUGCAGGAUGGUACCUGUCUCUGCAGCCUUAUGACUUUACGGUCCCGUACAGGCCAGGGAAGUCAAAUGUGGUUGCUGACUGUUUAUCCAGGAUAACAGAGGACUGAAGUACUUUGCACUUAAGAGAGGGGAGGAAGUGUAAGGAUGAGGACUCCCUUACUACUAUUAUAUUAUAAUUUGUAUAGCACUUUAGAAGGACCUUUUACUUUAUUAAAAGCACCUUAUCUAUCACUUUAUUUAGCAUUGCACUUUAAACAUAGAUUUGCACAUGAAGAACAUUUGCACACAAGAAGUCUAAGUUUGUGUGAGUGGAAAAUUUAGAAGUAAAGGUGGUACAAAGAAGUGACUAAGAUGUGAUUACUCACCUUUCUUUCCUGUGUCCUCUUCAGGGUGUUUGGGCAAAUGUUUCCCCGGGGGUCCAGACACUAUUUAAAGGUUCUGGGAGAGGCCAUGGGUUAAGGGAGUGUGGGGAAUCUUUUGUGCUUAGGUUUUUUGGUGUUUUUACAAUAAUGGGUAUGGUGUAAGGAUAAAGUGUAAAAUAUGUAUUAAUAUGAAAAUGUAAAAUGUAUAUAUUAUAUAUUUAUUUAUUGAAAUUGAUGUACUGACAGCUGAAAGUAUUUAAGGCUGCUAGUGGUCAUUAGAUACAGUUUUGUGAGGAGGGCUAUACUGUGAAUACAUGCCUCGUUCCGCUAUACUUGUCUUGGUGUGCCUCACUGUAAAUCCAGCCGCGAAAGGCCGCACUGUUACAGAGAUGUAGAAUAUAAACAUAUCUUUCUGUAAAGCACUUUGGGUCUGCUCUUGUUGUUUAAAUUUGCCUUGAAAUAUAAAUAAAAUG